AAGAGGACCUUGUCCCACUGAAUGCACAUCAUGUCAGGAUAGGAUCAAACAUCAUUAGUGAUGAAUGGCGUGCUUAUCGUUCCCUGCAUGCACUUGGUUACAAUCAUAUGACUGAAUCAUGCAAGGUGGCAUGUAGAUGCCCAAACAGGUGCUGAAUCAUUCUGCCCUUUUCGAUGCUCCUUUUCUCUUCUCAUUUAAGUACCAGGAGGAGCUCUUCUUUCUGAGGGUGAACAAGAUCACCUGAUUCCUCCACCUCGCGGUGCCUUUUGGAGAGUGACUUCUUUGUUGGUGCUGGCUGAAUGAUUGCUCAUUCAUUCCUCCAUGAUGGGCCGGGCCUUGGAGGACUCAGCCCAGCUGUUCUGCAUGUGCUCUUUGGUGGAAGCCCAGAAGAAGUCAUGAUGAAAAUAUCAAGGACUGUGCUGACCUCGAUAUCCGCAAGACAGUCAAAGUGUCACAUGUGAGAACAGAAGAUGCUGCUGGACAAGCUGAUGCUCCACGCAGAACUUGGAAGAAGCUCAAGACGGGUUAAACAGUUACGAAGGGGCUUAAAAGAGACGCUGAUCUGGCCUUUGCUAACUGAGAGGAAAGACACAAUUCCCCUCCUCUUUCCAAGAGCAUGUGAUGUACAGCGCACACCACAGGCCAGUGACCCCGUGAACUCACACUAGUGACUUUCUCAGAAAUGACAUGCGUUUUCUACUCUCAUGCAGACUUUGGUUAAAGUGAAGUUACUUAUUGAUCACUGGUUUCCUCCCCUUAAGUUAAACCGACAUCACUG
ensembl:lncRNA